GAUGAACGCUGGCUACAGGCUUAACACAUGCAAGUCGAGGGGAAACGACGGGGAAGCUUGCUUCCCCGGGCGUCGACCGGCGCACGGGUGAGUAACGCGUAUCCAACCUGCCUCUGACUGAGGGAUAACCCGUCGAAAGUCGGCCUAAUACCUCAUGGCAUCGUCUGCGGGCAUCCAACGACGAUUAAAGAUUUCAUCGGUCAGGGAUGGGGAUGCGUCUGAUUAGCUUGUUGGCGGGGUAACGGCCCACCAAGGCUACGAUCAGUAGGGGUUCUGAGAGGAAGGUCCCCCACAUUGGAACUGAGACACGGUCCAAACUCCUACGGGAGGCAGCAGUGAGGAAUAUUGGUCAAUGGGCGGGAGCCUGAACCAGCCAAGUAGCGUGCAGGAGGACGGCCCUAUGGGUUGUAAACUGCUUUUAUGCGGGGAUAAAGUGAGGGACGUGUCCUUCAUUGCAGGUACCGCAUGAAUAAGGACCGGCUAAUUCCGUG
rnacentral:rRNA from 1 species